rnacentral:lncRNA from 7 species
UGCAGGAAGUUUGAGCCUCUACUAUCAUACCACAAACAUCUGCCUCUGAUGUGGGAAAGCAUAACAAAACAGGAGGUUCUGGAACAGUCCUCAAACAAGCUUCACAAACCUGGAGAUCUGAAAGAAGAUGAUAGAUUCAGAGGGAUGGACUUCAAACUUUCUCUGAACUGCCUUGCAGAAAAGAAGUACCGUAAGCUUGAGGUUAGUAACUGUUUCACUGCCGACUAAAGAGAUAACUUCUUUGCAGUAAUUGAGAGUCUGCAAAAUGAAAUGCUACUGUCAUGUAAAACAUCUGACCUUUACAGUUGAGACAACAAGAACGUGCUAAAGUAUGCCAAGAAAAUAUUGCUGUUACAAAGGAUUCAAUAAACUUAGAACUACUUGGACUGAGGGAGCAUGAUGAUAUGAUUCAGAAUACCGAAGUGCGCUGAUGUAAAAGAAGCUACUCCAGGACUGCCAUGUGUCAACAUAGCUUCUGAUGGAGAAAUGAAGACACACAAAAAAAUGUUUUCAGUGAACAUUAAAGAUGCAUGCUUCAUUGUACAAAUAAUAUAUAAACAUAUAUCUUUUUUAACUUUUAUGUUUUGCUCCAUGUAGUUGUGAAUCACAGUCUUAUUUUGCAAAGAGAAUUACAAGGUUAUAAAUACAUAGAACGAUACGUCCUUUAAAAUUGGAUUUGUAAAACUAUUGUUCACAAUAUGCAAUAUGAAUUCCCUUUUGAAGAAACACAGAAAAUAAAUAAAUAAAUAAAGAUAUCCAGGGGUU